UACGUAGGUGGCAAGCGUUAUCCGGAAUUAUUGGGCGUAAAGCGCGCGCAGGCGGUUUCUUAAGUCUGAUGUGAAAGCCCACGGCUCAACCGUGGAGGUCAUUGGAAACUGGGAACUUGAGUGCAGAAGAGAAAGCGGAAUUCCACGUGUAGCGGUGAAUGCGUAGAGAUGUGAGGAACACCGGUGGCGAAGGCGGCAUCCUGACCGUAUGACGCUGAGCGCGAA
rnacentral:rRNA from 1 species